GCCAAAGCAAGAACAAAGGAAGAAAAGAAAGAACAAAAACCCUAGAGUGAAAAUUCAAGAGAAAAUUGGUGGAUUUCAAGUAAUCAAGCAAUUAAAGGUAAAAUUUCUUGAUUUUGACUUGUGAUCUACCUUUCCCAUACAUUCUUUUGCAUUUUCCAUGGUUGAAUCACAUGAUUUCAUUAUGGGUAUCUUGCUAGCCGAACACUUAGAGAGAGAUUUUGAUGAUUGUUUUAGUUAGAUUUUAAGAUAUUCUAGUGUUUUUAGUUGAUUGGUAAUGUGUAGCGUGAAAAUCAAGCAAGAAAAAUUCAUGUUCUCCCAUCACCCAUCAUUGGUCGAAUUCUCCAUGUAGAAUAUUGAUGAUGAUUUUGAUUUUAUUUCAAGUGAAUUGGUUAAGAAAUAAUGAAUUACGGUGAGAAAAUCAAGUAGAAAAAAUCAUAGUAUUGAUGCACCCACUAUGGCCGAAAUUCCCAAGAGAAAAUGUGAAGAUGAUUUUGCUAAAUUUUAUGCUAUUUGACUUGUGUUUGAUGGUUUGGAGAAUUGGAAGAAAAAUGGAAUUAUUGGAGUUGAAUUGGACGUAUUGGCCAAUUAAUCGGGUGAUAGAUCGAAUUAGGCCAAAACCAUUUUAUUUAGGUACACAAUUGAAUUUAUGUAGAACACCGUGUUUAGACGAUAAUCCGAACAAUUUGCAUCCCAUUUCAUGCAUUAGUAAAGAGCCUGAAAUAGAUUUAUAAUGGUAAGACACAGUAUAUUGAAUUAUGUGUCGUGUAUUGUGUGAGACCUUGUCAAGUUCGAUUAAAAGACGGUAUUGUACCGAGUGAUACAACUAAGUUAAAUCGAGCCUUGAACUAGUUCAAAUAGAAAUUCUAAAAGGAAAUUGAAAAUUUUGAAACCCACAAAAUGGCUUAGAAUAGUGAUUCGGAGUUCAAGGUCUAGUUUGGAGUCCAUUAGGAAAAUUGAUCGAUUAGGGACAAAACGAUCAUUUUACCAUUUGAUGAUAAAAUAGAGAUUUCUAGUCAAGAUUUGAUCACAUUUGAUCAAGAAUAAUUAUAUGACAUAUAAUUAUCAUUAUUGGAGUAUAAAACAAUGUUUAGCAGUGAAAAUUUAUGAUUUUCGGUAUUUUUGGAGCACAAAGGCAAAAUGGUAAUUUUGCCAUUAGAGGACUAAACGGGAAUUUUUAUAAAACAAUUUUUACCCCAUUUGGUUAAUAUUGAUCAAUAUUAGUGUUAUUUGAGGUUGAAAAGUAGAAAUAAUGUGAUUCCAAUACAUUUCGGCGUAUAGGGGUAAAAUCAUAAUUUUUCCACUUCAAGGGCAAAUCGGUAAAUUUUUCACCCCAGCACUUGUCAAGACCAAGGGAUUUUAAUUGUGGUAGGAUUGGACAAGUACCAGAAUAUUUGUGGUGGAAAAUUAAGAAGAAAAAGUCAAAAAGUUAAAAAAAAAAUUGGGCCAAUAAGCAUGUGACACGUGGCAUGCUUGAUUAUUUUAUUAUUUUUUAUAGAAAUCAGCCCAUUAAAUCCCCAAUUCUCUGACCAUAUUCAGCCUAGAAAGGGAAAAACAAGAAAACCUAGGUGAAAAUUCAAAGAAAAAGUGAAGAAAUCAAGGAAACAAGUUAGGUAAGUUAGAAUUUCUUUAAUUCUCCUUGAUACCUAGCUUACCCAUGCUUUUGUUCUUGAUUUCCAUGGUUGAAUAUUGAGUUAUUAUGAUGAAUUCAAUUCUGAAAAAUGGGUAUGGAAGAGGAAUUGUUGUUGGAAUAAUUUGAUUUUAGACUAUGUUAGUGUUUAGGGAUAGUUAAGCAUGGUUAUGAACAAAAACAUAAAAGAAAUAUUCAAUUUCUCUAGGGUUCCUUGUUGGUCGAACCAUGAGGGCUGAAUAUCAAUGGGGGAUUGUUUUUAUUUCAAGGAAAAUGGCUUGGAAAAAGAUGAAUUAAGGUGAAACGGUUAUGUAGAAAAACUUUCAGUGCUAGUGCACCAAAUGACCGAAUUUUUCUAUAAGGAACUGUGAGGGUUCUAUUGCUGAAUUUGGCUUUAUUUAAAUGGUAUGUGGUAAAUUAAGGUAUUAGAGGAGAAAUGGAUUAAUUUGGAGGUGAUUUGGACACAAUCGCCAAUUAAUCGAGUGAUUUGUCGAAUUUAAUCGAUACUGCGAUUAAGUGGUAAUCGAACGUAUUUUUGCAUUUACAUAUCAAGCAUUAGUAAUUUAAAUUAGUUUAUAUCAAUUUAGGGACAAUAUAGUAAAUUCCUCGACUUUGUUAUUUGUCAAGGUAGUGAGACGUUCGGAAAAGGCAAAGGAAUUGUUCCUGAGGACUAUUAGUCCAAGUGCACCCGAAAUCCAGAUUUUCGAUACCGGUGAGUGGACUUGCAUUUCAAAUUUGUUUUGGGGAAUAUGAAAGAUUCUAUCCAACUUGUCUUAGAAAAUGUACCUUGGGAACAAGCUUUUAGUAAAAUGGUUUUAUAUUAUGAAAAUGUGCUAUACAAUGGUUUAUGUGUUAUCACAAAAUGAUAAAAUGCAUGAUAUGCAUUGGAUGAUGCUUCUUUGCAUGUUGAUUUAGACCUGGCUAUGUGCGAGUAGGAGUGCACAUAAGUCGUUACUGACUCGGCUAUGUGCGAGUAGGAGUGCACAUAAGUCGUUGCUGACCCGGCUCUGUGUGAGUGGGAGUGCACAUAAGCCGUUGCUGACCUGGCUAUAUGCGCAUAAGUCGUUGCAUAUGAGAUGAUGAUGAUGGGAUGGUGUGCAUGUUGAUGAUGGGUAUAUGGUUGUAAAUGCAAAUAUGUAAGCUUUUGUUUUGUUGAAAUUUGGAAGUUUACAUGUGUUACAUGUUGCUAUUGUUAUUUUAGCAUGAUGGCUUGUUUUAAGGGAAAAAGGGUUUGGAAUAGUAGUUAGAUGAAAAUGGCCUUAUUUUCAACCGGUGCAUCAUGAUUGUCAAAUUUCCUAGUUGAGAUUGCUUGUUCCCUUCUAAUAUUCACUCACUGAGUAUUGUACUCACGUUUUAUAAAAAUUCAUGUUUUCAGAUCAGGUGACUGUUGGACCCUAGAUCGAGGAGUCCCCGUAGUGCAUCUCCUAGGUAUGUGUCUGGCAUUCGAUAGUAAUCCCUUUUAUUGUAAAUGUCUCCGCUAGAAGUCAUGGGUCCUUUUGUAUUGUGAAUACAAUCUAACAAUGUGAAUAUGUGUAUGCAAUGUAAAUUGCUAAAUACAUUACUAGUAUAGUGCAUGUAUAUUAUUAUCGAUAAUGCCAUUGUGUUUUGGCUAUGUUCACACCCGAGAAAAGGUGUGUGUGUAUGCAUGAUAUGAUAAAUUUGUUAAGCAAAGGUAAAUGGAUUGGCUUGCUUGGGCUUAGUGAGCUAUGCUCAUUGAGCUCAUGCGUCGGUCAUGGCCCGGGAAUUUGGGUCGUAACAUAUUGUAUAUAGGUGGUGAGCCCUCUAACAAAGGUAAAGACGUUGUGUCAGAGGACUGAGAAUAGGAGUAUUUCAAACUCCUGAUACAGUGAGUAACCUUAUCAUCAUCUUGAUUAUCUGAAGUGAAUUUUAAUUCAUUUUUGUGAUUUUAUGGAAAAUGAGUUUAAAUGGUAAAUCUUUAUGUUUUAUAAGCAAAAAUGUGAUUAAAUGAAAUGACUUUAUAAAAUUGUCUUGAAAUUGAAAUAUGGUUUUGAAAAUGGAGUAAUUGGAGACUAAUUGUUGUGUUAUAAAUCAUGGUUUGAAUUGAAUGGCUUAUGAUAAUAUUGGCAUGAAUGGUUGAAUUGGUAAAUGUGCUGAAAAUGUAUGAACUGUUGAUUUGCCUUGAGAGGCUGUAAAAUAAAAUAAUUGCCAUGUCAUGCUAUUGCAAAUUUUAUUGUAUGGUGGGUUUAGCUUACUGCAGUGAGCGGGUUCUAUGGACCAGCCUUUUUGAGAGGCACGAAAUCUUGUUAUAUUCUUACCUCGAUUGGGGAGGCGCGUAGGUUAACUCCCGAGGUACAACUUUAGAGUUCACUUCACACCAAACCACCACGUGAGGGUGAACUCAGCCAACGCCAAAGAACGGCUAUGUUUUCAAAAUAAAAACAUGAUUUAUGCGUACCUGACUUUUUAACAGCCUUGGCAGACUCAGUUGGGAUAGCUCCAGGCCAAGGUAUCCUUGAUAACUGAGUAUGAGAAUGAUUUUGGCACGAGCCAAGCUUUUCAAGAAAUCAUAAGCCUUGUUGUUUAUUUGGGUGAAAUGAAUCUAUUUUAUCUUAUUAAAAUGAGUUCGAAAUGCUAUGAAUCUUUUUUAUGCUAAUCUAUUUUGUCUGUCUCCAUUUACUUGGUUUUAAAUAUUUUAGAUGAUAUUUGUUUACUCACUGGGAUUAUAUAAUCUCACCACCCUCUUUUCCACCCCUUUCAGGCUCAAGAUUGUCGGUAGAUAGCUCAUUUCGUUGAGGGCUACAGUUGGACUUGCAUCCUCAAAAACUGUAGGUUUAUCGCUUUUGAUACUUUUGGACGUUCGUGGCCCCACGUGUUUCUGUAAAUUAAAUCUUAUGCUUUGGUUAUCUGUAUUACAGUAUGUAUGAAUUUAU
rnacentral:lncRNA from 1 species